rnacentral:lncRNA from 1 species
UUUCAGCUCUUCAAGCCAAACUUUGACGAGAUUGUCGGUCACCGAUUUCUCUUCAGCGUCAAGAAGCACAGCUUUGAUUUGACAGACAGUGCGUUUGAGGUCGUGGAUGUCAUGUUUUAGAUUCCACCACAGCCCAACUUGAGAAAAAGCACGAGAGCUCAACUUAAUAAUGAGCUCUGCAGCAAUGUCGGAAGCAAUUGUUUCGGCCAUUGUUGGUUCAAACAGAAAUCAAGGCAAAAAGGGUUUGAUUAGUGAAAGAGGAGGACUAAAAUGAGAAUGAUCCCAGCAAGAUGAAACACAGAUGUGGAUCCAUCCACCCACCCAGUAGUAUAAUUAAAUAAAAAGUAAUGUUGAUUGGUGGGAAAUGGUCCCUCCAUGUUUACUGUUUGACACAAAUUUCUCAAUGGAGACAAAGUUGGGACGAUGAGAAAUUUCCCAAUGCUCUGCACAAUGUGGAACCGUACAAAUAAUUGAAAUUAAUGAAAAAGCUAUGAAAGAAAAGAGAAAAAGGAAACAAAUCCCAUGGAAUCCACAAGGUGUUUUGAUUGGCGCCCAUGCAUUCAAGUCUUUCUAAACUUCUUCCCACUUACUUUGUGUAAUUGAGUGAGUAUCAAUACUCGGUUUUAACUUAAAUUCAAUAUUUUAUUUUUGAGUUUUAUUUCGGUUGAAUAUAUAAAAUAAAAAUUCAAUAAAACUCAUUCGCUAUUAAAAUCAAAUAUUAUUAAAUUCGAAUUAGAUUAAAUCAAUAAUUUAAACAUAACUUAAUGAUUACUAAAUCAAAUUUAAAUUUUUUUCGAAUCGAAUUCAAUUAAUAACUUACGAAUGAUUAUCAUGUCCUCCUUGUGAAAACUAAAGUGGUUGACAAUGCUAGCACAAUCUGUUUCAAAAAUAACAUUAUCGGCUUUAAGAAAUUGAGCAAGUCGAUAACCAUUGAUGAGGGCAUCUAAUUCCGCUUUAAUAGUGAUUUUUUAUUCUCAUUUUAUCGGUAUAUUUACAUUUGAAUUCAAAUAUAUAUUCUACAAUUAACUUUAAUCUCAAUGUUACAAUACUUAACCUCACUAAAUUACUUGUUUAACUUGAUUAUGAUAAAUUUAUAGAAAGAACAAUCACGAAACAAAUGUAGAUGCACUAUGUUUAAAGUAUUAUUAAUGGAAAUUUUAUAAUUUUGAAAAAUAAAAGUAUAAUAAUUUUUUUGGCAUUCUAACUUUAUAAAAUAAUUAUUUUAGCUCUCUAUUUAUUUUCCUUCUCUUUUAGUCUUUGAACUUAUAUUUUUUUGUCAAACCAUCCAAAAUGGGUAAAAAAGUUAAUGUUUGUUAACUUUUUUGACAUGACAUAUAGGUGGAUUACCACGUGUAUGUCACGUUAGCAAUUAAUUAUUUUUAAAAAAAUUAAAAAAAUAUUUUCUUAUAAUUUUUUUAAUUUUUAAAAUAUUUUUUUGAAUUUUUAAUUUUUUUUUAAAAAUAAUUAAUUGCUUAUGUGACAUAUACGUGGUAAUCCGCGUAUAUGUCACAUCAGCAAGAUCAACAUACGUUAAUUUUUCACUCAUUUUGGAGUGAUUUGAUAAAAAUUAUAAGUUUAAGAACUAAAAGAAAUAAAAAAUUAAAUGGAGAGUUUAUAUAACUUUUUCUGAAAAGUUGGAGACCAAAAGAAUCAUUAUGGCUAAAAAAUAGUUGUUUUUCUUCUUCUUCUUCUUCUUCUUUUUAUUGGUAAUUUUUAGUGCUAAAAUGAAGAUGGUGUGGAACAGUUUCUAAUAUUAUUAUUGUUAUAUAUGUUUUCGAUCUCAUUAGAGCUAAUCUCACUGUCUAUAUAAAGAGAGAGCCUAAAUAUAAUUUGUUUAGCUUCUAUUAAACAUGUUAGUGCUCCUUUGUAUGAUCAUUUAACUCCCGUGAGUAGGGUUGAUAAAUAAAAUAAAAUAAUUGAAAAUCGAUCCAAAUCAAUGUGUUUAGACGGUUUAUGGAAUACAAAUUAAAAAAUCAAAAUUAUCCAAAACCGAACCAAAUUCUAUUCUUUAUUUAAUUUAUAAAUAAUUUUUAUAAUAUAAAAAUAAAUCUAUUAUAUUUAAAAAUAAUGAAAAUAAAUAUAUAUUAAAACUAUUAUAUAAAAGUAUUUGAUUUUUUUUAUUUACUUAUAAAAUUUUAAAAAAUGUCUAUGAAAAAAACUUUGAAAAUUUGUCAAAUGACAGUAAAAUAAAGUUUAUUUUAUUAAAAUAAUUAUAAAAAUUUAUAAUAAAUAAUCGAGCUAAACUAAAUUAUAAUGGAUGAAUAAAAUACAAUCGAAUUAAUCUAGUAUCACUUGAUUUUAUUGCACCAAACUAGACAUAAAAGAUUUUCUUAAAAAAUUUAAACUGCAAUGAGAUUGUUUUUCUCACUCUAACCUCCUAGAGGUGUUAUAUAAGUACAUAUCAUAUCAUAUCAUAAUUAUAAAUUUAAUUAUUUAAUUAUUUUAAAAAUAAAUAUAUUACAAAUUAAUAUUUAUAUAAUGAUAUAUUAAAUACAUGUAAAUUUAUUAUCAUAAAUAUAUUUUUAAUUAUUAUUUAAUAUAAAUAAUUUUAUUAUAUUUUAUUAUUUUCAUUUAUAUAAAAUAUAGAAUUUUGAGUUUAUAAUAAUUUCCAAAAAUAUAUAAUUUUCAUAAUCAAAUUUUAUAUGAAUUAAAUCUAAAUAAGUAGAUAUGUAAUAAUAAAUCAAAAAUUAAUAAAAAAAUAUAUUUAUUAAUAAAAUUAUUAUUUACCAUGAUUGCAAAUUUAGUAUAUAUUAUAUUAUUUAAUGUUAAAUAUGAUCUUUCAUUUUAAAAAUAUAAUUUAACAUCCUUAAUAAUCAAUUUAAGAUGAAAACAAUCUCUGGUUCCUUUUAAUUUUGAUAUCAAGUAAAUUGGUCCUUCUAAAAAAUUUAGAGCAAUUUUAUCAUUGUUAAUUUCAAAAUUGAGAAACUUAGGAUAAUUAAUCACAAUGUUAAUAUUUUUGUCAUCUGUACACACUUUUAUUGGUAUAAUAACAACUUUGGCCCCAAAAGUUUACACAUUCUGUCAAUUUAGUUCUAGUUUAACAAAAUCAAAUUGCAACAUUUACACAUUAUGUAUGUUGCACAUUAUGUAUGAACUGAGUUUGUUAUUAUACUAAUCAAAAUUAUAUAUGAGUGACAAAAAAUAUUAACAUUAUUGUUAAUUGUCCUUAGUUCACUUUUGAAAUUGAUAGGGAUUAAAUUGUUCCAUUUUUUUAAAAGGGCCAAUUUGCAAAAUAUUGAAUUUAAGAGGUAUCGAAGAGGUAUUUUUAUCCAUUUUUAACCUCACCUCACUACUACAGUUGUUAUCGAAUCCAAAUAUAUAUCCAACACUGAUUAUUAUCACAUCACUACAAUAUUCAAUCUUACUAUUACAACAACUAAUCUCACCACCAAUGUUACUUUUAAUUUCAGUAGAAUUGAUCCAAUUAUACAUCCAAAGAAAACCAUAAACUUAUCCAAAUACAAAUAAAACUAUAAACAACUUAUUUAGACAUAAAUUGAAAAAUAAAUUUUAUUAUUUGACACAGUAAAAAUAUAAUUACUUGCUUGAUUUAUACAUUUGUCCAAUAGUAAUGUAACCCAUUCAAUUUGGUCAGAUUGAAGGUUAUUCUUUGAUAAGAUAUUGUUAUUAUUUGCUUUGGGCAAACUUAAUACAACUUGAUUUACUCUUUAUUAAUUAAAAAAUUAUUUAUAUUUAAUUAUAAAAAGGUGUAAAUAUUAUUAAAAUAUCAAUUUUUAAUAUCAAAUGAAUAGUGAAAUAGGGUCAACUUAUAAAGGUUAAAGUAUUUAGGAAGUCCCUAUAUUAUAGACUAUAUCAAAAUAGUCUCUCAAUUAUUAAACAGAUCAAAUUUAUUCUUGUAUUAUUAAAAAAGAAUCAAAUUAUAUCAAAUUGUAACAGAAUUAACAUUUACUAUAACAAAUUUAACAUUAACAGAGUUAACAAUUUUCAAUACAUUUUGAUGCAAUAAAUGGUACCUUUGUUGUAAUUUGGUUUUAUUUGAUCCUUUUUAGUAGUAUAGAGACUAAACUGACCAUUUAAUAAUAGAGGGACUAAUUUGAUGUAGUCCCGAUAAUACAGGUAUUUUCACCCUUAUAUAUGUGCUUGAAUCUUAUUUUGGAUGAAAUUGAACAAUUGAAAAAGAUAAGAGCUGAAAAAGGUAAAAAUAAAUGAAAUUAGCACAUUAAAUUGUAAUCAUAUACAAAAGAUUCUUAGGUAUGAGUAGGAAUAUGGAUGCCAAACAUAUCGUAAGAUGAAGCUUCAAUUUUGGUUUGCUGACAAUCUUCUUUUUGGGAAGUCACAGCAAUUACGACAGUUUGAAUUUUUAACAUCUAGCGAUGAUUGUCAAAAUAUUAUACUAACAAAUUAGGCAUAAUCACCUAUUUAGCUCUCCAACUUUACAAUAAAAAAUCAUUUUAGCCCUUCAUUUAAAUUUUUGUCUCUUUUUGUCCUUAAACUUGCAUUGUUUAUCUAUUUUAUCUAUUUUAGGGUGAUUUGAUAAAUAAUACAAGUUUAAGGACUAAAUUGAUUUUUCAUAAAGUUAAAUAUAAUAGAGAAUUUAAAAAUAAGUGAAAAUAUUUAUAUUUUAUUUUAUAUUUGUUUAGGUUCGACUUGGUCUAAAAUAUAAACUUAAAAAGUCUGUUCAAAUUUGUAAACAACUAACUCAAACUCAUUUUAAAUCCACUCAUUCUAUUUUAAAAAAAAAUUAAAAUGUAUUUAUAUUAUUUUUAACUUAAUAUUUAAUAUUUUUAUGUUUUUAUUAAAAUUUUAUAUAUAGUCAUCUUAACAUUAAUAGUUUUAUUUUUAAUUAUUAAAAUUAAAACCUUAACCAGGACAACAUCAGUAUUUGAAUUUAGUUUCGUAUUUAUUUAAUUUGGUUAGCAUGUAUUAAUAGUUUUCAUAGUCUCUUUAGUUUUUGUUUUUUUGGGAUUGUGUAAAUUUUAAAAUUUUAGAUAUUUUUAGGUUCAUAUUUUCUUUUAUAAAUAUAUAUUGUAAGCUCUCACUAAUUUUUUCAAGCUUUUAGGAGUUCCUUCUAUCGAAGCAAUAUCAUGAGCAAAUCUAUAAUCAGUAUACAUGAGAAAGAAAAAAAAUAUAAAAUAAAAUAAAAUUUAAAAAUAGACUUGGACACUUAUGGAUGUUAAAUUUGUAAUAAGUUCAAGUAAAAGGGCUAAAAUAAUCAAACUAUCGUCUAACUCAUGCUAUGAAAAAAAAUAUAAUCACAGUUAAAAAAAUAUUGUAUAUUUCGAUGAAAGUCACAAUUUAUCUUUGGUCAUGCUUGUUCGCAACUAAACCGCUAUAAUGUAACUACAUGUUCAUACAAAUCUCGCGCUAGUCGACUUUGCCCUAUGAUCCAUUAGUCAGGGGUAUUUAUCCGAUUGAUUUGUCGGUUUUGCCUUUUUUAUACUUUAAGUAAAUGUGUAUGAAGUGUGUGAGUUCCAAAUUAUACUGUAACAAAAAUUGAAAAUACCUGACAAGAUCGAAAUGAAACAAAUUAAUACCCAAAAAAUUCUUCUUCAAUAUAGAAACUAAUGCACAACGAAAAUAAAGUUGGUAAAUUAGUGGGAGAUGAAAGAAGGGUAUAGAUGUUUUGUAAGAAGCCAAAAAGGGUUGUAAUUGUUGCAGGGCAUCCAUAUUCUCAUAUCCUCAACACUUGGUAAUUGAAUGGAGCUAAGCUAAGCAUUCAUUACUCUUGGAAUUGCUCAAUAUUGGGUGUUGCGUGAAGCCCUUUCAUUAAAUGAUAGUCCACAUAAUGUACACAAAAGGGCUUGAUGGAGGGGCGAGAUACUACUAAAAUAUAUGUCAGGGGAUAAAGCUAAAUAAUUUAAGAAUUCUUCAAUUCUUAAAAAAGUCCACUUAGCAAUACAAUUUUAGAGAUUAAACCUUAUUUCUUCAAUUCUUGCAUCUUCGAUUAAGGUCCACUUAGCAAUACAAUUUUAGAGAUUAAAAAAGUUACAUUUUCAUGUAAUGUUUCUUGAGAAUUUUUUUUUCUUUUUCAAAUUUUCAUUGAUUUAAUCUAACUUUAGAUAAAUUAUUUUUUAAUGCAAUCCAAUUUGAUUUAAAUACACAAAUAUAUAAUUAUGAUUCGAUUUGAUCUGUAUAGUUUAAAAAAUUACUCAGGGGCAAAACAGCUUAGCUACGACCCGCCUUUUUUUUCUACCCAUAAACCCUCUUUUUCUUUCUUUUUCUUAUUCACUCCAUGCAUCUUUUCUUUUCAGUUUACAGAUCUAUUUGUGGGUAUUUUUGUUGUCGUCACAAGUUGUGAUGGAUAGAUGAUGGCCCCUAUUAUUGUUUGAAACACCAUCGACCACCGACAGUUUCUUUUAGAAAGUAGGUAGCUCUUCGUUGACUUCUUAAUAUGUUUCUAUUUUUUAUAUAUUUUUUUAUUGUUUAAUUAUAAGUAUUCACUUUUAGAAGUUUUUUCUACUCUUAUAGUACGUUUUUUAGUCUUACAUGCAUUGUACAUGAUUUAUAUAUUUAUUUUUAUUUACUGAAUAAUAUAUUUUUAUUUUAUGUAAUUAAUGCAAAAAAAUAAUAUUAUUCAAAUCGUGGUACAUAAUUAAAAUAGUGCAACAAUAAAAAAAAUUCAAACAUUAAAGUUUGAAAGUAAAUAAUAAUGAAAUAAAUUUUUUAGUGAUUUUAACUUCUAAUUUAAUAAAAAAAAUUAAAACAUACAAUUCUUAUGUAUAUUUUAUAAGGGUUAAAAUAUUUGAAAGUUUAAAAUUAGCCCCUCUAUUAUUAAAUGGACCAAUUUUAUAGUAGUACUAUUAAAAAGAACUAAAUAAGGUUAAAUUGUUACAGAUUUAACAUUAAUAGAAUUAACAAAUUUCAAUAUGUUUUUUAUAAAAUAAAUGUUGACUUUGUUAUAAUUUAACUUUAUUUGAUCAAUUUUAAUAGUACAGGUAAUAAAUUAACCAUUUAAUGAUAGAGGGACUAAUUUGUAUGCAGUCCCUAUAGUACCGGUACUUUAACCCAUAUAUAUAUUUGAAGUUUAUUUUAGGAUGAAAUUGAUAAAUUGAAAAAAGUAAGAGUUCAAAAAGGUAAAAACAAAUGAAAUUAGCACAUUAACUUACAAUUAUAUACAAAAGAUUCCCUCUCUUUUCCCUCCAUAAUGUCUAUCACUAUAGUUUCCCCCUUAUGUAUAAUACUACUGCUCUGCUAGUUUUAUCGGACAAAAUUAUAUUCGCAUAUUAUAUUCUUUUUCUUUAUUGUCUUCAACCCGAUAACAAGUGAAUUACUAGUUACUUUACUUGAUUUUUUCAUGCCAUUUAUCUCUUUGAGUCAAGUAGCGAAGCAUUUCUGAUGGUUCUUAUGGCUAACAGUAAGUUUUCUUGUACAAGCUCUCGUACAUAUGCAUUUGUUAAACUAAUGCACUUUUUUAUUUUAUUUUCUUCAAUUCAAUUGGUUGUUAACGUAGACAUAACCGUGCACAAAUACUAAGGGACCUUGUAAUUUUGCCUGCCAUUGGCAGUACUUUGAAAUAGUGCUGAUUUUUCUCAGCAAUUAAAAAGGAAGAGCGCAGCAGACAAAAAUGAUGUUAAGUCUAGCCAAUGGAUAAGCAGUCCGGGGGUUACCUGUACAUGCUGAAGGAGGAAGGAUAAAUAAUAGAUCAAAGACAUCAAAAGCCAAUAAAUCAAUACCUCACACACCCGUGUCAAAUGCUGGUGCGAUACUAUUUCCUACUGGCUUAGUCCAUAGAAGGAAACUUAUGAUUCACUCCACGGCUCUAUCAUCAAUGCCUCAUUGCUCGAAUUAAGAGAGAUGGAUUUUGUAGACGAGGAAUCACUGACAUUAUAUAUGAUAAUUGGCAGUUUGUCCAUCUCCUCAUAUACCUGCUGGCAGCUGCUGUUUAGAUAGUCCUUUAGGUAAUCUUUACUGCCCAUUCUUUUUUCUUUUAACAUAGUCUGUUUUAGCUCCUUAACCUGCUACGGAUGGUGAGAACGACAAUAAUGCAGUCACCAUUUUUAGGUCUGUUGACGAAAAAGUUUGUCAAUCUGAUGAAGCAUGCUGAAGAUGGUAUCCUUGACCUAAAUAAGGCUGCAGAAAUAUUGGAGGUAAUGACAUACUAGUGAGCUUAUGUAUCAUUGGGUAUUUGUUGAGUAUUUUUUUCAUGUUACUUAAAGGGUUCUUUUGUCCUUUAUUUUUCCCUGUAAAUGUUGUAACAGGUGCACAAGAGGAGGAUAUAUGAUAUAACAAAUGUCUUGGAGGGCAUCUGUUGGUGCAAGAGGCAGCAACAGGCUGUUUUGUAUCUUGCUUGAAUAGCAAGCCUCGAGCCUUGGUGAAGAAACAAACUCGGAAGCAGAAACAGAAAAUGAAAACUAGCUAGUGAAAUAACAGAAAAGAGAGAAGAAGAUUUGAAUGACAAAAUGAGCUGAUCUUUUUCAUUAACACAUCAACAAGGCAUUAAGCCAUUACAUAUAUCAGUCAACAAGUAAAACAAACAAGUAAUCACCUAAUAACAUACCUAACACCACUAAAUUUCCUAGUAACUUGGUAAACUUGAUUGAAAAACAAAAACUUCUACCUAAACUUGUCAUUCAGCACCUAAUUACAUCAAAAUACAGUUACCAACUUAGUUCAAAACAAACUAAAACACAAAAUGUUCAUUUGAGUAACCAAAUGAAACAAUGCAAUUUCGGUUUGCUGUUAAAGCACGAUCCCUGCAUGGCCACCUUGCAUGGUCACCUUAGCUGCUGCAUGGGGGUUGACUUCAACACUCCUCCUCAGCUUCUAUGCAGCAGACUCCUAGUUGCUUCCUUAGAUUUACAAAUCUCGAUGCACCAAGUGAUUUUGUGAAGAUAUCAGCUAUUUGAUCUUCUGAACUGCAAUGAAUUAGCUUGAUCUCUCGAGCUUGUUCCAUUUCUCUUAUCACAUGGAGUUUGAUGUUGAAAUGUUUUGUCCUGCCAUGGAAGACAGGGUUUUUAGCAAUAGCAACUGCUGACUUGUUGUCACAAUGUAUCACAGUUGCAUCAUUCUGCUGUAGAUUCAAAUCACCCAAAAUUUUUCUCAGCCACAUAGCUUGAUUAACAGCAUUAGCAGCUGCUACAUACUCUGCUUCUGCUGUCGAUUGAGCCACCAUUGUUUGUUUUCUUGAGCUCCAACAAAUCAUAGCUGAGCCAAGUGUAAAAGCAUAGCCAGAAGUGCUCUUUAUAUCAUCCUUUGAACCAGCCCAAUCGCUAUCAGUGUAGCCAAUCAGUUUCAACUCUUCAGCCUUUCUAAACUGUAUUCCAUGGUUUAAGGUACCUUUGAUGUAUCUUAGCACCCUUUUUCCAGCCUUGUAAUGUUGCUGGUUACAGCAGUGCAUGAACCUUGAUAGCAUGCUCACAGCAAACAGAAUGUCAGGUCUUGUUGCUGUUAAAUACAGCAAACAACCAACAAGGCUCCUAUAAAAUGAUUCAUUAACAGGCUCAUGUUCUUCUUGGCUCGACAGUUUUAUGCCAACUGCCAUAGGUGUGCAUGUUGGCUUGCAAUUUUGCAUUGAAAACUUGGAUAAAACUUUCAAAGCAAACGCCUUUUGUCCCAAAAAGAUUCCUUGAUCAGCUUGUUGUAUCUCUAUUCCAAGGAAAUAAGUCAUCAACCCCAAAUCUGACAUCUCGAACAUCUCCUUCAUUUUUCUUUUGAAAUCUUCUAACAUAGUCUUGUCUCCUCCUGUUACAAGGAGAUCAUCCACAUAAAGAGACAUAAUAAGCUGUGUUUUUGCUUGAUCCUUCUUAACAUAAAGUGUUGGCUCACUAGCACUCCUUUCAAAUCCCAAACUGACCAAGUAUGAGUCAAUUCGAGCAUACCAGGCUCGAGGGGCCUGUUUUAGGCCAUACAAGGCCUUUCUUAGCCUGUACACCAAGUGUUCCUUACCAGGCAUUAUAAAACCUGGGGGUUGCUCGAUGUAUAUCUCCUCUUCUAGAAAUCCAUUGAGGAAUGCAGACUUGACAUCCAUUUGGUGGAUUGUCCACUGGUUCUGAGCAGUAACUGCAAUCAGCAAUCUGAUUGUAUCGAGUCUGGCUACUGGAGCAAAUGUUUCCAUGUAGUCCAGACCAUACCUUUGACUGAAGCCCUUUACAACUAGUCUGGCCUUUAGCUUGUUUAAGCUUCCAUCCACAUUGUGCUUCACUCGAUAGACCCAUUUUACACCGAUAGUCUUUCUGUUGGCAGGCUUUUCAACCAACUCCCAUGUCUGAUUCUUUACAAUCAUGUUGAUUUCAUCAACCAUAGCUUGUUUCCAACCUUCAUCUGCCUCAGCCUCUUCAAAACUGCUAGGUUCUGCUAUUGCAACCUGUGCCCUUUCAUAAAUAUCUUCUAGGAGCCUUGUGCCUCUCACAGGCACAUCAUCAACAUCCAUUUCAGGUCCUAGCUGCUCAAGUUCAGCUUGAUUAGGCACUAGGUCUUCUGAAAUUGCUUCUGGCUCAUUUUUCUCCCAAUUCCAACAGGCUUUUUCAUCAAAGAUGACAUCUCUGCUCACCUGGACUUUGUUUGUCAAGGGAUCCAGAACCCUGUAGCCCUUUUUGACUGAGCUGUAGCCUACUAGAACACCUGGUUGAGCCCUUUUAGAGAGCUUGUCUCUCUUUGCUGCUGGUAUUUGUGCAUAACACAGGCAACCAAACACCUUCAGAUGUGCCAAGGAAGGCUUGAAACUGAACCAAGCCUCGAAAGGUGUCUCGGAUGCAAGAGCUUUGGUAGGAAGCCUGUUCUGAAGGUAAACAACAGUGUUUACUGCCUCAGCCCACAUGGUCUUGGGCAGUUUCUUUUCAAACAGGAGACAUCUGGCCAUAUCCAUCAGACUUCUAUUCUUUCUUUCAGCUACCCCAUUCUGCUGAGGUGUGUAGACAUUUGUAAGCUGAUGUUUGAUACCAGCAUCAUUGCAUAUGGCUUGAAACUGAGCUGAAGUGUACUCAGUGCCAUUGUCUGUCCUUAUCGAUUUCAGCUUGUAACCUGUUUCUGUUUCUACAGCAUUUUUAAACUUCACAAACACUUGAGCUACCUCAGACUUGUGUUUUAAGAAGAAAAUCCAGCAAAACCUUGUAAGAUCAUCAAUAAAAAGGAUGAAAUACCUGUUUUUGCUGAGUGAUUCAGUCCUCAUCGGGCCACAUACAUCAGAGUGCACCAGCUGCAGUCUUUCAGUAGCUCUCCAAGCUGAAUUUGUAGGAAAUGGCAGUCUUGUCUGUUUCCCCAUCUGGCAAACUUCACACACAUCAUUAUGCUCCACUGAGCUGGUGAAGUUCUCUGCCAAGCCCUCUUUGGCCAAUCGAGCCAUUGAUCUGAAGUUGGCAUGUCCAAGCCUUUGAUGCCAAAGCUUGAAGUCAUCAACAGAAGUUGUGUAUGCUGAGUUUGAGUCAUUUGCCCAGUGAGCUUCAAAGCAUUUAUCAGUCAUUGUGACUGUCAUAAGGCUUGAUCCACUUGGAUCAGUAAUGUGGCAUUGUUUGUCCUUGAACACAACAGAAUAACCUUUCUCGAGCAGUUGAGCUAUGCUGAGAAGGUUUCUGUCAAUCUCUGGCACCAACAGCACAUUUGGAAUGAUCUUGUUGCCUGUGGGAGUACAUAUCAGCACUUCUCCUCUUCCUUCAGCCCUUAUAAACUGACCAUUUCCAACCUUGACCUUGGUUUUAUAACUUCUGUCCAAGGUUUUAAACAAGGAGGCAUCUGGUGACAUGUGGUUAGUGCAACCACUGUCCAGCAACCAGCCUUUUGAGCAUUUCUUCUCAGCAUCUAAACAGGAAACAGCAAAGACCUGUUCUUCUUGGUCACUACUGUCCUUAGCUACUCGAGCUUCAACCUUUGACUGCUGAAAUUGAUUCUGCCUUGGCUUACUCCUGUUUUUACAGACCCUUUCAACAUGGCCCUUCUUCUUGCAGUGUUGGCAUACUGCAUCUGGCCUAAACCAGCAUCUGUCUUCUGGAUGGCCAGGCUUCUUGCAAUAUCUGCAGGGCUGGUCAUUGCCCCUUGCAGCAUCAGGCUUAGGCCUGCUUUUCCAAGGCUUUUUGCCUCUUUGAGCAUUGGUGCUCGAGGCUUCUCUGGCCUUGGCUUGAAAUGCACCUUCUUGGUGAUCUUCAGCUCUGCUAGCUCUCCUUUGUUCCUAAGCAUAGAAGGUGUUGAUUAACUCAGUCAAAGAGAUGCUAGCAAGGUCUCUUGAGUCCUCUAGGGAGGAUAUCUUUGCUUCAUAUUUCUCAGGCAAAGUGGAGAGGACUUUCUCCACAAUUCUUGCCUCAUCAAAGUGCUCACCUAAGAGCCUUAUGCUGUUAACCACUGCCAUAAUUCUAUCUGAAUACUGCUUCACUGUUUCUUCUUCCUUCAUCUUCAAAUUCUCAAAAUCCAUUCUCAAGUUCAACAGCUGCUGUUGCCUUGUUCUCUCAGUGCCUUGAAACUCCUCCUUAAGCUUGUCCCAGGCCUGUUUUGGAGUCUCACAGGCCAUAAUUCUGGUAAAGAUGACAUCUGAUACACAGUUCUGAAUGCAGGACAUGGCUUUGUGCCUUUUGGUCCUCUCAUCAGCAUGUUGUCUGAUUUGAGCUACUGUGGGAUUAGCCCUCAGUGGUGCUGGCUCAGCAUCCGUGUUAACAACUUCCCACAGAUCAAAGGCCUGCAGGUAAGUCUUCAUCUUUACCAGCCAUAUGUGAAAGCUUUCUCCAUUGAAGACUGGUAGGGCUGCUGGUGAAAAUCCUGAAGAAGCCAUCAGGUUCCUUGGUUUGAAGCAACAGGUCCACUAAGACAACGGCUCUAGAUACCAAUUGUUGGUGCAAGAGGCAGCAACAGGCUGUUUUGUAUCUUGCUUGAAUAGCAAGCCUCGAGCCUUGGUGAAGAAACAAACUCGGAAGCAGAAACAGAAAAUGAAAACUAGCUAGUGAAAUAACAGAAAAGAGAGAAGAAGAUUUGAAUGACAAAAUGAGCUGAUCUUUUUCAUUAACACAUCAACAAGGCAUUAAGCCAUUACAUAUAUCAGUCAACAAGUAAAACAAACAAGUAAUCACCUAAUAACAUACCUAACACCACUAAAUUGCCUAGUAACUUGGUAAACUUGAUUGAAAAACAAAAACUUCUACCUAAACUUGUCAUUCAGCACCUAAUUACAUCAAAAUACAGUUACCAACUUAGUUCAAAACAAACUAAAACACAAAAUGUUCAUUUGAGUAACCAAAUGAAACAAUGCAAUUUCGGUUUGCUGUUAAAGCACGAUCCCUGCAUGGCCACCUUGCAUGGUCACCUUAGCUGCUGCAUGGGGGUUGACUUCAACAGCAUCCCUUCAUUUGAAUACGGUUUGGAACCCUAAAAAAACAUAAAUGUGUUUUUUCCUGAGUUGGCACGUAUUUUGCAAUAAGAAAAAUAAAGAGUACAAUUAAGAUGUUUACGCAGUUCGAAACUUGUCCUACGUCUGCGAAGCUUUGCCCAAAGAUGAAUCCACUAUGAACUUCAUAGAACAAAGAAAUGAUUUAAGCUUAUCCCCUAAAACACUUGAUGCAAUCUCACUUUUGUACAAUUAAGUAAAUUCUCUCCCAACUCAUUUUAGCUAUGCAAGUGAAAAUUCACAUUCAACUCUCAGAUGGUUUUCCUACUAUGAAUCAAGCUCUUAAUAAGCUCCAUGUAAAGUGGAAUAAUGAAUUUUCCAAUGCAAUAUGUCUCGCAAUUGUCAUGCUUGAACAACGACUCUUCCAAAACCAUCAAUGAACCUGAAAAUUAUAAAUUGCCAACAUAGAAUAUGUUACAAAUCCCAUUAUUAUCAGCCUUAUAUUUGCACAUAUGUGUGUUUAGUAUAAUGCUGUUGAUGUAUAAAUAAUGAAACAUUUUAGCAACUUCAACCUCACCACCAAAUAUUCUGAAGUAUUUUCCUUUUUUUCCUGUUUGGACCUUCAAUAACAAAUUUGGCUGGAAUUCCGAACAGCUAAAAGAGUGUCCUGCAUCAAUGAAUAUUAUGAAUUUGAAUACCUCCAAAAGCCUGUCAAUAGCACAUGUAACAUCUAAGAUAGUAAUCAGUUGGCAUAUAUUAAGAGAAAACAUAAAUUUAUAUAAAGAUAUGAUAGGUAAGUGCUUAAAUGAAGAAAGCAGAUCAUAUAGUACGACCAUUUUGAAGGCUUCAUAGGCCUCUCUCUCCACAUCAAUGGUUUUUUAGAAUUAAAUUAUUAGAAGCAAUUGUCAAGUUAUAAUUAUGAUUUAAACGUAAAAAGGAAAUAGACAAAUGAGCACCUCUUUUUGUGCAUAUAAAAUGAUUGAAGUUGACUAAUGCCUUUCGCCAAUGCCUUACUGCACAAAUCAGCAAAAAUAUUAUGAAAGAGGAUAAGUAAAAAGUAGGAUUAAAACAAAGGGAUUUUAACAAGGAAAUUAACAGUAUCCAACUUCAAUGAAAAAUGGAUAAGGUCAUCAAAAUAAAUAAAUAAAUAAGACAGACCAACCUGAUUCAACCCAAUGCUGGGGAUGUGAGCAAUCCUUUGCCAUUCAGCGCCAAUGCCCUUCGGACAUCUUUCCUCCAACUGAGGAAUUUCUCCUAUUUGUAAAUACUCCAAACUGGUCAGGCAACGCAUCUCGUCCGGAAGAGAUGUUAAAUUGGGCAAAUUAACUAGAUAAAGCUCUUGCAGAUUUGUUAGAUGUUGAAGCCACUCCGGAAGAUGCCGACACUUUGGAAUAUUUUGCAGCCAUAGAGAGCGUAGGCUUGUAUGGUCUUGGAAUAUUUGGAUGCCAGCUCCAGAUAACUCCAGCUCCUUGCAGUCCAUUACUUCAAACUCUUCAAGGAAAGUGAGAUGUUGGAACACAGGAAGCAGUGACCUCAAUCCAUUGCAGUUAUGAAUUUUUAAUGUUUUCAAUUGAACAAGAUGUUGAAGCCAAAUGGGGAGAGACACCAGCUUUGGAAUAUUAUAAAUCUUCAAAUGAGAGAGAUUCUUAAGGGGUUCCCAUUGCAUGCCCUCUAAAUCAACCUCCUUGCAAUCUCUUAUUGUUAAUCUUUUGAGGCUGGUGAGAUGUUGCAGGCACUCAUCUAGCGUGUGAGUGUCCAACCCCUCAAUGUUGCCUACAAGGAAAGAUUUCAAUCUGGAGAGAGGAAGAGAAGAGGUUGAAGUUGAUGGGGUCGUACUAGUGAUGUUCAUCUUCAUGGUCUGCUUUAACGGCCUUGAACUGGUAUUCCUCAACUUUAGCUUAUCAUCGAGUGAAGGAUACAACGGCAUUGAUGUCAAAGGGCAAUUUUGAAUUGUUAAAGAGGAAAGACAAGGAAAUGCCAUGGUUGAUGGUCCCAUAUCUGUUGUGUCGUCCUCGUUGGAAUCAUCAUCGAUUGGUUUUGUCGUCCUCCACCAACUCUUCAUAUUUGGGCAAUCCUGUAGGCAAAGAUACUUAAGCGAUGGGAAGAAUGAUUGUGGUUCUCCUUGACUUCCUUUUGGGCUAUUAUCAUCCAUGUACUCCAGUUCAGUUAAAUCACAAAUUACCAAAUCUUGAAGACAAGGAAAUUGAGCAAAGGAUGGGAGAUGUUUGAAUUUACCACCACGACCCAUUAUUUUAAUAUGGACGAGAUUUGUGAGAAAAGAAAUCCAACUUGGAAACUCAGCAUCACCCCUCCAUCCUGUAAUAAAGAGCUUCUUGAGAUUAGGAUGGGGCUGGAGGUCUUCAAGUGACUUCUCAUAAUCAUCUUCAUCAUCAAUAUCAACAUUCCAUUCUAAAACCAACGAUCUCAAAUGUUGCUUCUCUUUCAAAUUAGCAGCCUUAAACUUCUCUUUUGCAUUUUUUACGAAUCCCAAAUUUGUUAUUUCUAGAUGUCCCCUUAAGUUAUUAAGCAGUCUCAAUUCACUUAGAUCUGCACCGCCAUGGGACCCAUCUUUAUCCACUACAAACAUGCUUAACGUCUCAAGUGAAGUCAGCUUACCUAUUCCACAUGGCAUAUGAGUUAAGCCAUUACAAUCUUCACACCCAAGAUGGGUAAGAUUCACCAAUUUUUCAAUCUUCUUUGGCAAUUCUUUAAGCCCAUCACACAAGUCAAGUUUCAGCGCUAGCAAAGUCUGAAUCUUGCAAAUACUCUGUGGGAGAAUCUUAAUGCCGGGAUUAUUAGAAAGAUCAAGGUACCUCAAAUAUUUCAACUUACAAAUGGAGGGUGAAAUCUUUUGAAUACCUAUAGAAUCCAAUUUCAAUACACGCAAGCAUCUACAAUUUGCAAUUAUCAAAUCCGAAGUUUCAUAGCUGAAAUUUUGAUCUAUGUUGUUUGGAAAGUUUAACAAGGUUCGCAACUUCUUUCCCUUAAAUAAAGGAAUUAAUGAAGGUUUAAUUGAUAUGUGGCGACAUUUUUCACCAACAUCACUUGCAAUUUUUUUGAAUCUACAAUACUACUCUCCAUCCCUGCUACUGAUUCAGCUAGAUCAUGCAUUAAAUCAUGCAUUUUACAUGUCAUAUCUUCCAUCAAGUCUCCUUCUACCUCUUGGAAGAAACUUCUUUCAAUUAAAUCUUUAAAAUACCCAAAUCCGAUCUCCUCGAGAGAUUGACUUUGAUACAAUUUCUUUAUGAAACCCUGUGCAAUCCAAAAUUGAACAAGCGCUUGUACUUCAAUUCUGUAAUCUUUUGGAUACAAUCGGCAAUAAGCAAAGCAAUGCUUCAAAUGAGACGGGAGAUGAUCAUAACUCAAUUUCAGUAUAGGUAGAAGUUCUCCUUCAAUUUUUGAAAUUUUAGCAAGUUCAUUUUCUUUGAAAGAAUGCCACUCAUUUGCAGUUUUCUUCAAAGAUAAUGUACCAGCUAUCGUCCUUAUGGCUAAGGGAACCCCACCACACCUUUCCGAAAUCUGUCUCCCUACUUCCACAAAGGCUGAAUUUGUUGAGUCUGCAUGUCCUUGCUCAAAUGCUAUCUUUUUGAACAAAGACCAAGCAUCAUCAUCAGACAAGCCUUUCAAUUUCAAAACAUGGGAUUGACAUUUAUUAGUUAUCUCCGCUACCCUCAGAGAUCGAGUAGUUACUAUUAUCCUACUCCCUUUAGCCCCACCCACCAAUAACUUCUUUAGCCUAGACCACUUUUCUAGGUCCUCAUUCCAAAUGUCAUCCAAAACAAGCAAAUAUUUUUUCCCAUCAAUUUUAUCUCGAAGUUGUUUUUGCAAUUGAUCCAUUUCAAGAUUUUGAUCAGGUGCAUGAUGAGUCACAGAUUUGAUAAUGUUUGCUACAAUAGCUUUCACAUCAAAAUCAUCUGAAACACACGCAAACAUCGUUAAGUCAAAAUGAUUUUUGACCUUUCAUGGUUAUAGACAAGUUGGGCCAAAGCAGUCUUCCCUAACCCUCCAAACCCCACAAUUGGAAUGAUAUAAACAUUCUCUUCACUUUGAAACUCCAACACGAGUUUUAGAAGAGCUGCUUUAUCAUCAUCCCUCCCUAUUAUGUCAUCUUAACACUCAAAAGAGUGCGUUUGCUGCCUCCUUUUAGUCAUGAAAGAGGUUUUCGCGGGGCGAUCAUGCGGAAUGAAGCCAAAAGUGUUGGUCCCGCUUUCAAUUGAAGCUAAUCUCGCCUUAAUGGCCUUCAUUUUCCGACCCAUUUUGAGACCAUAAGCAAAUUGGUUUGAGGUUGAGAAGAAAAGGCGUACCUCUUUCGUCAGCUUGUUCCCACCCGAUACAUCUUUCCGCAAAGCUUCAGUAGAGAAAUCAUCAAGCAAGUCGUCGGCAUCAUAAAGUACAUCUUUCAGCUCUUCAAGCCAAACUUUGACGAGAUUGUCAGUCACCGAUUUCUCUUCUGCGUCAAGAAGCACAGCUUUGAUUUGACAGACAGUGCGUUUGAGGUCGUGGAUGUCAUGUUUUAGAUUCCACCACAGCCCAACUUGAGAGAGAGCACGAGAGCUCAACUUAAUAAUGAGCUCUGCGGCAAUGUCGAAAGCAAUUGCUUCGGCCAUUGGUGGUUCAAACUGAA